rnacentral:rRNA from 1 species
AACGAACGCUGGCGGCAUGCCUAACACAUGCAAGUCGAACGAGACCUUCGGGUCUAGUGGCGCACGGGUGCGUAACACGUGGGAAUCUGCCCUUUGCUUCGGAAUAACAGUUAGAAAUGACUGCUAAUACCGGAUGAUGUCGAAAGACCAAAGAUUUAUCGGCAAAGGAUGAGCCCGCGUAGGAUUAGGUAGUUGGUGGGGUAAAGGCCUACCAAGCCGACGAUCCUUAGCUGGUCUGAGAGGAUGAUCAGCCACACUGGGACUGAGACACGGCCCAGACUCCUACGGGAGGCAGCAGUGGGGAAUAUUGGACAAUGGGCGAAAGCCUGAUCCAGCAAUGCCGCGUGAGUGAUGAAGGCCUUAGGGUUGUAAAGCUCUUUUACCAGGGAUGAUAAUGACAGUACCUGGAGAAUAAGCUCCGGCUAACUCCGUGCCAGCCGCCGCCGUAACAC